AGAAAUCCCACAUCGCUUCUUCUGACCAGAUCCAAAGAAAGAGAUCUUCCAAGAGAGAUCGCCACAGCAAGAUUAACACAGCUCAAGGACCUAGAGACCGCAGAAUGAGAUUGUCUCUCAAAGUUGCCCGCGAAUUCUUUGAUCUGCAGGACAAGCUAUGCUUUGAUAAAGCUAGCAAAACUGUUGAGUGGCUGCUCAUACAGGCAAGACCAGCAAUCAAGAAACUAUCUAGUGGCCUCCCCCAGUUCAAUUACAGCUCCAGUGUUGGCACCAAGAGUGCAUCAUCUACUUCAGAGUGUGAAGUGGUAUCUGGAAUUGAUGAUGAGGCAGCUGCCAUUAAAGCCACCACCAAGAUUUCUAAUGCUAAAACCUCAUCAUCAUCAUGCGUUAACAAUAAGGGGAAAAAGGCUAAACCAUCACGUAAAGCUGCAUUCGAUCCACUAGCAAGAGAGUCGAGGGAGAAGGCAAGAGCAAGAGCAAGAGAGAGAACAAGAGAAAAGCAGUGGAAUCGAAAAAUCGACAAAUCAAAGCUAUGUGAAGAAGCCAAAAACCUUGAAUUGAACCAAUUAAACUGUUUGAGUCCCUUUGAAAUAGGUGAAGAAUCUGGCACACAAAGUCACACCAUGAAUCCUAAUUCCUUGGAGAUGCUGGCACAUGAAGUGGAAGUACCAAGCUCACACGAGCAAGACAGGUUAGUAACCACAGAGAGCAUGAUUGAUGAUUCAUUGUUGAUCAUGGGAAAGUGGAGCCCAUAUUCUUCCAUUAUCAAUCACCUGUACAACACUGCCAUGCCUCAAGAGCAUCAAAUCACAGACUUGCAAUCUUUCUUCAAGUCAUUGGAGGCGCCCUAUAACAGUUAGAUGAUGAUAUGUCAAGUCAAGUGGACACUUGAUUUCAAGAAUACUAUGUAUGGCUUUUCUUUCUGUUUGGAAUUAAUGUAAAAUAAAGAACUGUAUUUUUCUUUCUGCAAUUUUCUUGUGAACUGUUU
rnacentral:misc_RNA from 1 species